rnacentral:rRNA from 1 species
AUUGAACGCUGGCGGCAGGCUUAACACAUGCAAGUCGAGCGGGGGAAGGUAGCUUGCUACUGAACCUAGCGGCGGACGGGUGAGUAAUGCUUAGGAAUCUGCCUAUUAGUGGGGGACAACAUCUCGAAAGGGAUGCUAAUACCGCAUACGUCCUACGGGAGAAAGCAGGGGAUCUUCGGACCUUGCGCUAAUAGAUGAGCCUAAGUCGGAUUAGAUAGUUGGUGGGGUAAAGGCCGACCAAGGCGACGAUCUGUAGCGGGUCUGAGAGGAUGGGCCGCCACACUGGGACUGAGACACGGCCCAGACUCCUACGGGAGGCAGCAGUGGGGAAUAUUGGACAAUGGGGGGAACCCUGAUCCAGCCAUGCCGCGUGUGUGAAGAAGGCCUUAUGGUUGUAAAGCACUUUAAGCGAGGAGGAGGCUACUUUAGUUAAUACCUAGAGAUAGUGGACGUUACUCGCAGAAUAAGCACCGGCUAACUCUGUGCCAGCCGCCGCGGUAA